GAUGAACGCUAGCGGCAGGCCUAAUACAUGCAAGCCGAACGGCAAUCCCGACGGCAACGUCGGGACUAGAGUGGCGUAAGGGUGCGUAACACGUAUGGAAUCUACCCGCAACAGGGAGGAUAGCUCUCCGAAAGGGGAAUUAAUCCUGCAUAGGAUUUAGGGGCGGCAUCGCCUUUAGAUUAAACUUCAAGGUUGUGGAUGAUCAUGCGCAUGAUUAGUUAGUUGGCGGGGAAGGGCCCACCAAGACGAUGAUCAUUAGGGGAACUG
rnacentral:rRNA from 1 species